GACGAGGUGGCCACGUGGUUAAGGUGAUGGACUGCUAAUCCAGUGUGCUCUGCAUUCGUGGGUUCAAAUCCCAAAAUUAUCA
rfam:Oryctolagus cuniculus chromosome 6, whole genome shotgun sequence.